AUACGGAGGAUCCAAGCGUUAUCCGGAAUCAUUGGGUUUAAAGGGUCCGUAGGCGGCUCUAUAAGUCAGUGGUGAAAUCUCACGGCUCAACCGUGAAAUGGCCAUUGAUACUGUAGGGCUUGAAUUACUGUGAAGUAACUAGAAUAUGUAGUGUAGCGGUGAAAUGCUUAGAUAUUACAUGGAAUACCAAUUGCGAAGGCAGGUUACUAACAUUAUAUUGACGCUGAUGGACGAAAGCGUGGGUAGCGAACAGGAUUAGAUACCCUGGUAGUCCACGCCGUAAACGAUGGAUACUAGCUGUUCGGUAGCAAUACUGAGUGGCUAAGCGAAAGUGAUAAGUAUCCCACCUGGGGAGUACGAACGCAAGUUUGAA
rnacentral:rRNA from 1 species